UACGUAGGGGGCUAGCGUUGUCCGGAUUUAUUGGGCGUAAAGAGCGUGUAGGCGGUUAGGUAGGUCCGUUGUGAAAACUGGAGGCUCAACCUCCAGACGUCGAUGGAAACCGUCUGGCUAGAGUCCGGAAGAGGAGAGUGGAAUUCCUGGUGUAGCGGUGAAAUGCGCAGAUAUCAGGAAGAACACCCGUGGCGAAAGCGGCUCUCUGGGACGGUACUGACGCUGAGACGCGAAAGCGUGGGGAGCGAACAGG
rnacentral:rRNA from 1 species